rnacentral:rRNA from 1 species
UCUAUUAUUGUGUCUAUAAAUGAAAGUGUAAGCAUUCCACCUCAAGAGUAAUUUGGCAACAUUGGAACUGAAAUCAUUAGACCGUUUCUGAAACCAGUAGUGAAGUAUGUUGUUUAAUUAGAUGAUACACAAAAACCUUACCACAAUUUGAAUAUAUAUAUAAUAUAUUUACAAGCGCUGCACGGCUGUCUACAGUUAAUGUCGUGAGAUUAUGGUUAGCUCCAUUAAAUUGAUGUAAACCCAA